CACAAAGAGCCAUGCCCUUUCUCUUCUCACGUCCAAAAGGAUAGGGAUAAGUUGGUUUUCGUUUGAAUUCAAAUUUGAUUUGAAUUCAAAUGUGUAACCUCUUGUCUUUAUCCUCUCACGCGGAUAAGACACGUUCGACGUUGUUUUAAAAAUGGAAGAAAGGUGGGGCGUGCACAGAAAAAUUAAGAGAAAGAAAGUGGGGCAUGAGAAAGGCUGGUGUGCGAGGUGAAGGUCCAAAACCUUUCGAGAGAAAAAGAAAGAAAAGAGAGAAUAUUGGACGUAGGGUUUUUUGGUGUGUACCCUAGGAUUUCUACCUAGGGAUCGGAA
rnacentral:lncRNA from 1 species